rnacentral:misc_RNA from 1 species
GUACUCUCACACUCCUUGUCCUUUGGACUGGGAGCGGUGGACUUGGGUGUUGCUGCUUGACCGUGGCUCACCUCAAAUGCGUUAGUGCAUCUCCUGGUUGGACAUAGUACGGCGUGAUAAGUAUCUUCGCCGGCACCUCACCUCAGAGGGUGGCUGAUCAGGGGCCCUGUGCUUUCGAACCGUCUUCGGACAAUGACUGACA